rnacentral:rRNA from 1 species
UACGUAGGGUGCAAGCGUUAAUCGGAAUUACUGGGCGUAAAGCGUGCGCAGGCGGUGAUGUAAGACAGGUGUGAAAUCCCCGGGCUUAACCUGGGAACUGCAUUUGUGACUGCAUCGCUGGAGUGCGGCAGAGGGGGAUGGAAUUCCGCGUGUAGCAGUGAAAUGCGUAGAUAUGUGGAGGAACACCGAUGGCGAAGGCGGCAUCCUGGACCGAUACUGACGCUGAGGAGCGAAAGCCAGGGGAGCAAACGGG